rnacentral:rRNA from 1 species
GGCAGCACGGGGGCAACCCUGGUGGCGAGUGGCGAACGGGUGAGUAACAUAUCGGAACGUGCCCUGGAGUGGGGGAUAACUAGUCGAAAGAUUAGCUAAUACCGCAUACGAUCUACGGAUGAAAGUGGGGGAUCGCAAGACCUCAUGCUCGUGGAGCGGCCGAUAUCUGAUUAGCUAGUUGGUGGGGUAAAGGCCUACCAAGGCAUCGAUCAGUAGCUGGUCUGAGAGGACGACCAGCCACACUGGGACUGAGACACGGCCCAGACUCCUACGGGAGGCAGCAGUGGGGAAUUUUGGACAAUGGGCGCAAGCCUGAUCCAGCAAUGCCGCGUGAGUGAAGAAGGCCUUCGGGUUGUAAAGCUCUUUUGUCAGGGAAGAAACGGUGGAGGUUAAUACCUUCUGCUAAUGACGGUACCUGAAGAAUAAGCACCGGCUAACUACGUGCCAGCAGCCGCGGUAAUACGUAGGGUGCAAGCGUUAAUCGGAAUUACUGGGCGUAAAGCGUGCGCAGGCGGUUGUGCAAGACAGAUGUGAAAUCCCCGGGCUCAACCUGGGAAUUGCAUUUGUGACUGUACGGCUAGAGUGUGUCAGAGGGGGGUAGAAUUCCACGUGUAGCAGUGAAAUGCGUAGAGAUGUGGAGGAAUACCGAUGGCGAAGGCAGCCCCCUGNGAUAACACUGACGCUCAUGCACGAAAGCGUGGGGAGCAAACAGGAUUAGAUACCCUGNUAGUCCACGCCCUAAACGAUGUCUACUAGUUGUCGGGUCUUUAUUGACUUGGUAACGCAGCUAACGCGUGAAGUAGACCGCCUGGGGAGUACGGUCGCAAGAUUAAAACUCAAAGGAAUUGACGGGGACCCGCACAAGCGGNGGAUGAUGUGGAUUAAUUCGAUGCAACGCGAAAAA